UUCCGGGAUAGAGAACGUAGGCUCUCGCUGUGAGCUGCUCCGGACCCAAUCCUGCUUCUAUAAGUUCAUUAACCACAGGUACUUGAGCUUAAGUUCCCAUCCCUUCAUGUGUAAAUGGAAGAAAAGUACAUCAAAGAAAUGAGGAAUAAAAACCACAUCUGAAACAAGCAGAGAGCCUGGCAGACUGGCAAAAGAGAAGAGCUAGUCAAGAAAAACUAAACUGAAGGCUGGGAGAAAGAAGGUGGAGUCAGAGAGAAGCCAUGGAGCUGCCGCCAGAGACAGAUAUGCUAAAAUUUUGCUGACACCUCAUGGGAUGAGAAGCCAGUAACGUGGUCCUUCCAGCAAGAGCUGAUCAGCCUGGGGGAAGGAAUUGCCUUCACUAUCUCGGGAGCCUAAUUGAUGUUUAAUGAAAUGAAACACCGACUUCAAUAUUAUUACAAACAUAAAGCAUGUUUGUCUACAGAGAAAAAUAGAAGAUGCUCUGACUCUCCAUGGACUCACGUGUAAGAAGGCAUGUGCAGAUAAAGACACGGUAGCAAACAAAGCUUCAGCAUGUAUAUGCACAUGGGAAAGGGAAACCAAGUGGCAAAACAGCAUCCUUCUUUUUGGUUGAACAGCUCAUACACUGUUCCAGAAGCAGUGUCGAUCACCAUCACUUGGAAUCCUACACAGGAAGCACCCUGAUUGGCCACGCCCAGUCCUGACCUCCAGAUGCUGGCAGUCAUGGAACCGAAGCAAUGCCUGAAAUUAUCUUUUGGUCAAGUAUGGAUGAGAGAAGUGUAUAAUUUCAGUCAGCAUUUGGAGCACUCUUGUUCCAAUAUAGCCAUGCCUAAAAGCAUCCUUUACUUGGGCUAUAUUUUAAGAAAGGAAAGGUGAAUUUUAGUUUUUCUAUGUCUUUUUUAUUCUUAAGAGGUAUGGAGACUAUUUUCAAAGCAGGAAUGCCUAGCCCAUUUAUGACCACUUGAAAUAAUGACAGAGAGACACUAAAUUUAGAAAUAUAUUAAAUUUAUACAAAUACUGAUUUUCAGAGAAAAAUAGACAUAAUGACUUA